rnacentral:pre_miRNA from 1 species
CCAUGCAUUACUGGGUUGGCCUCCCUUGGCAGUGGCCUAGAUAUAAGAUGAUCAACCGGCCACUGCCAAAGGAGACUUGCCCAGCAAUGCAGUG